UCCAUGGACUUCUCCAGUUUUCCCACGUAAGCGUUUGAUCGUUCCAUUGAACUGAAGUAUUUAUUAAUGUUAUUUUCUCAAGAUGGUUGAUUUAAGUGACCCUAAGUCCCAUGAGAAAUUUUCCGUAGACGUAAAGCUUCUGCUUAUACCAGGAGCCCUUCUGUUUCUUUUAGUAGUGUUCUUUAUUUACCGGAUAUUAAAGGCCAACCAUGAUAGGGUAAAAGCCAAACAAGAGAAGAAAAAGAUGAAGCAAGAAAAGAAGAAACAAUAACAGAUGGCAUUCAUAUUAGGAAUAAUAGUACAGUUUAUGAGUGGUGCUUUUCAGUUGUGAUAACGAACUGGAUUCUUCAACAUUUGGAUUUCGCCAUGUUUACUGAUCUCAGGUCGUAAUCUGUUUUUCUGGAUUCAUGGAAAUCCCUUGUGACUGGAUAUUUGACAUACAGUGCAAGGCCGCUGUAUCAUUUUUAGGUUAAUGGACAUCCAGUGGUGUUCAAAAAGAUGCCAUUACUGGGAAAUCUGUGCUCAUAAUAAUAAAAUAUUUUAAUUCUACUUGUAACAAAUUUUAUAAUAGUUAAAGUCUGCAACAGCUGGCAUUUAGUUAGUAACGUUUUUUCUCACUGAAUAGGAACCUCAAAUGUUUAUUCAAAGCUUUAUUGUGUCAUACACAAAAUAAUUGUCUUUCAACGUGGAAUAAGGUAGAAAUUCUACAUUGGAACUGCAACUAAAGAACAGGACUCUGACAAUAAUAUUCUGACAAUUAUGAAACUCUUGCCAGUAACAAACAGUUGCAUCAACUUGAACUUGAUUCUAACCAAGAACCAGUACUGAACUGAAUAAAAUAAUAUGCUUAGUUUG